UACAGAGGGUGCGAGCGUUGUCCGGAAAUCACUGGGCGUGAAAGGGCGCGUAGUGGCGCGACAAGUCAGUGGUGAAAGUUCGACGCUCAACGUCGAAUCGGCCACUGAUACUGUUGGGCUUGAGCACUGUAGAGGCUAAUGGAAAUUCCGGGUGUAGCGGUGGAAUGCGCCAGAUAUCAGGAGGAACACCAAUGGCGAAGGCAGCACUCUGGGACGUGGACUGACGCUGAGACGCGAAAGCGUGGGGAGCAAACAGG
rnacentral:rRNA from 1 species